rnacentral:lncRNA from 1 species
GGCUCUCUACGAGGCGGCAUAGUUCUGACAGAAGACACCACAAUGAUUAGAUCAUUCACAAGAUAUACAGGACUGCUAAACCAACGCUCUGAUACCAAACUAACACACCCCGACCAAAGAUCAAGGCGUGCUGGGCGUCACGUGAGGAUGACGUAGCCAUGUGCACAGUGCGGAAGUAAUAAAGAUAAGAAAUAUACGAAUAAAUAAAAACCAAAAGCUACUAAUAUGCACUAAUAAGCAGAAAGUGCUAGGAGUGAGAUACAAGAGUAAAUACUCCUAAUCAGAGCAUAUAGAGUCUAUGUGCAGUCCAGUAGGACAAGUACUAGUUAUACAGUACUAGAAGAUAUCAUACGAA